rnacentral:pre_miRNA from 9 species
UCUCGAUAACGUAAAAGUUAACUGAAAUUCAUAUGGAGUUGGAACGUUUGCCUACGUUUGCCGCUAGGGGCGCUGUUCCAGUGCACACAAAUAUGAGUUAACUUUAACGCUAUCGA